GAUGAACGCUGGCGGCGUGCUUAACACAUGCAAGUCGAACGGUGAAGCCCCGCUUGCGGGGUGGAUCAGUGGCGAACGGGUGAGUAACACGUGAGCAACCUGCCCUGGACUCUGGGAUAAGCGCUGGAAACGGCGUCUAAUACUGGAUAUGAACCGCAGCCGCAUGGCUCGUGGUUGGAAAGAUUUUUCGGUCUGGGAUGGGCUCGCGGCCUAUCAGCUUGUUGGUGAGGUAAUGGCUCACCAAGGCGUCGACGGGUAGCCGGCCUGAGAGGGUGACCGGCCACACUGGGACUGAGACACGGCCCAGACUCCUACGGGAGGCAGCAGUGGGGAAUAUUGCACAAUGGGCGGAAGCCUGAUGCAGCAACGCCGCGUGAGGGAUGACGGCCUUCGGGUUGUAAACCUCUUUUAGCAAGGAAGAAGCGGAAGUGACGGUACUUGCAGAAAAAGCGCCGGCUAACUACGUGCCAGCAGCCGCAGUAAUAC
rnacentral:rRNA from 1 species